GUGUUCCUAAAUUUGAGAGCCUGAAUGACAGUCCUCUUUGAUCAAGUGGCCUCUUCUGGAUGUUUCCACUCUGAGCUGCCUGGAGGGCAUAGAGAAAGACCUCUAAGGCAAAGAUCUCAGGUAGAGAGGAAGGAGAUGAUCUGUUCUUCAGAUCUGUUGGACCAAACAAGAUCAAUUCACACUGAUUAAGUGACCAGAAAGACUGCGGUUGCUGGUCAUAAAUACCAUUGCAGCUUCUCUUGUUUUAUCUGUACAGAAUAAAGCACAACAUAACUAUGAAAUAAUUGGCAAACUUCAGCUACAGAUAGAAAUUGCAAGUAGUUUCAAAGUGCUUUGGAACAUCUUUCCCUCCCUUUAACUUGUUUUGGAUCAUCUUUUACCCACCAUUUUUAAAAGGACAGACUUUUCCCAGAAGAUUGCACAGUACAGAAGCGUAUAAAUUUAAAUCAAAAGUAAAAUGUCAUCAGAAAAGGAAUGUUCUAUUUGUAUCUUUUAACUGGUGAAGAUGACACAGUUUGUAAUGAGGGGUGAUAAUUCUGUGGGGUGGGAUACAAUACAGAACGAAGACACCUUACUCUUCAAAGUCAGUUUCAUAACUUGCUGUAUGUAAGGGACUAAUUCAAUUCCUGAAGGAAUCGGCUCUUACUGGGUAUAGAUUAAUGAGAAUACUUUAAUAUUUGGAGGCAGAGAGUUCCUGUGGUGGUGGAUAGGAUGAACCUUUUGGAGUGUGCCCAAAUUAUCUAAAGUGCUCAACCACGUAACCAUCUUACUACCUCUGAGCAAAGCAAUCAUGGCCCAGAUUAAAUUGCCAGCAAAAUUCCUAUUGCUCACAUUUGGGCCAGGAAUUCACUCAGAUUAAAAAGAUAGAUAAGAAUGUGCCACUAAAACUCAAUGGAAAUUACUUCAUCGGGGGAAUCACUUAAUGGCCUACAGUAAAUCUAAAGCAACUUAGAUAAAGAAUGAAAUACUACUGUUAGAUUACAGCUGUCUCUUAUCUCACUUUUUACUUAUUAUCAAACACAAAGAAUCAGAUUUUCAAAGUUAGUUGCGCACAUAUUUCCAGACAACUUUGAUGUAAUUGUAUAGCUUGUGUGUGAAAUCAAAUUACAGGGUUAUACAUAGAUGUGUUACUGGUAUUGUUCAUCUGUGAUAUGCCCUCCAAAUAUACUCUUUGAUUGUUAUUACUCAUUUCUGUUUGCCUGGACUUGAAAAGCUGGCUGUGGAAAUUUGAACAGUAUUUAAUUCUACCUUAAAACAAGAUGACCAUUUCAGCUGACUAACAAAAAAUAAUUCUGCUGGCUUGCUGGAGGGUGAGCAAUCAUACCUCUGUUUGCAAUAUUAGUGUUUUCUACCAUGUGCAAGAGAAUCGCGUGUCCACCACCACUCCGGUGCUUGGGGCCUAGCACCUGACCUCCCUGAAGCCAGGGGCAGUCUUCCCACUCAGCUCAGUGGGGUGAUGAUCCAGCCAGGUACUCCUUCUUGGGGCUCAGUCAGACAAAGAUGUUAGUACAGUCCUGAUUUGCUUUAUUAUUCCGGUACUCCUUACCUUAGGGGUGAGAAAAGGGCAAAUGGGGCAGAAAGAAAUAUCUGGGUCAAUAUUCUCUUAUCGGAGGUAGAAGAAGCCUGGGCUUGGCUACAUAUGGGGAAAACUUCAUGUGCAGUAUGCUAAUGGGAAAGACUGGGAAUGUCCCAUGAGACUAGGUGUAUAUAUCACACCUCAUAUUACAUUUUUUUUGUUUAUAUAUACUUACAUUGGGACUUAAGUUUUAAAACAUGUAUUUUUACCAUUAAAAUCCAAGACUAAAUCAUUUCCACCUGCUUAGUACUUAUAGUGUAGAUAAAUUUUGAAUAUUCAGCAUUCAUUACUGCAAGUUAAAAACCUUUCCCAUCCAUCCACUGGUUACUUCAGAUGGAAGUGUAAAUGGUGUUGAUACAAUAAAAGAAUUCCUCACUCAUUUACAAAUAUUCUUUAUUAAAGAGAAAUAAAUAAUUCACAACUUAAUAAUCAGGAUGUGGUGUUCAGAGCCUGAAAAUGAUUGGUGUGAUUUCUUCAGAUGAAAACUGUUUAAGUGAUGUCCCAUGCAGCAGUUUAGCAGCCGUACAUAUGAUGUCACUCCUAGAAGUCCAAGUAAAUGACGUCAUACAUACGACCACCAAGCCACCACCUGACAAAUGACUGUUAUAAGGAAGUGAAUUAUCAUGACAAAGAGAAAUAACAGGCUGAUAGCAAUGCUGAAGGUCACUUUAUACGUAGAAUUGGUAGAAAAAAAGCAAUUUGGAUUCAUUAUUAAACUAUGCAGAAAAUAGUAAAUAGUGCCCUGGUUGCUGUAAGACAGAUACCUGCUAUUAACAUAUGCAAGACUGUGUCCAUUUCUGCAAGAGAGAAUCCAGAUAAAGCAAGCAUAAAAUUAACUUUUUUCCCAUAAAAUAUUGGAUACGAUCCACAAAUAUUUUUCUUCCACCAUCAAGGAGCUUGAACUGUUGACUAUACAUGACACGAUGGAAAAGAAGUUGCUGUUGAAGCAAGAUGGAAACAUCUCACAGUUAGAUCCCAUACAAUUUAUAUUGCCGAUUUUGGCAGCCGUGUAAAGCAAGAGAUUAUCAUCUGCAGUAGAUGAGGACAAGGCACUUUUAAUGAAAAGCAGCUCACGACUCUCUGACAGUUCUUUUCCAUUGCGGCAGUCAGUACUGCUCACACGAGGAAGCUUUACUCUCAGGACAGCCUGAUGCAAACUGUGGGCGUAAAGGCAGGCUGCAGAAUGCUUCAUAGAUUUUGUCUUCAGCUCUAAUUGUGUUUUCAAGAGACCUCUUUGGGGCAAUCAGCUACAUUCUUAUUUUAUUAAAAAGCAAAGAGAGAGAAAAAAAGGUCCUGCUCACCCCAGAACCUCAGGUGAACAGAACAGAGCAGGGCACUCCUCUCCCUCCUGGAAAACUGUGUGCAGCCUGUGUCUGAAAUUCUCAAAAUAAUUCUCAUCAACUUUAUAUCAUCAGCAAAGUACUUUCCCAAAUCUUUCUUGCAUGAGAAGAGCUGUGGAAUUUGCAAGUCCACUUUCUUACAGCUUGAAGCAACCCAUAGCUAUAUAGGAAAAUAUGCACUUCUUCAGCACCUCUUCUGCCCUCUGAAGGGUGGGACCUGCUCUGGACCAGAUGCUGGAAGAGUGUUUAAGCAGGAGGAGUCUUAUGCAUACAUUAUCUGCACAGACACGGCUUUUAGAGACCUCUGGUGAAAGCUGGACAGCAGCAGGAGCUCAGGGAAGGACAUGGACAUGCCACCUCACUGGUGAAUACAUCUGACUGGUAGCUGUGAGGGAUCGGAUGCGUGCGCCAUGAGCUAUGCCCUCAUCACGGUGGCAAAUAUUUUACUAAUUGGCUUCUGGAGACUCCAACCUACUAAAGCCGUGCUCCAAAAUAAGCCAGUUUUUGCAGUUACCUAAAAUUACAUUUAGGCUUUCAUGUAAUUAAUGUUCCAUGUUUUAUGAAUUGAAAUUAUUCUCAUGCCUUUCAGGAUCUGACACAAUGCACUAGACCGUGUAUAGUUUAGUGA